AAUCUAAAAGAUUUCUCUGAGAUGAGAUAUAAUUGGCUUUUUAUACAACAAAAUUAGAUGAUGAUAGAUAGAUGACCGCGCACUUUCUGCCGUCGUUUGGCUUUAAAACAAGUAUUUUAAAAGUAAAGACCUAUACCGCUGUAUUUACGAAGCUGAUUUAGAUUUCCAGAUUCGAUGAAGAAACUUAACGUAUCGAUAAAAAAUUUUUUUUUUAAACGUUUGGCGGAAAACGUAAAACAAAACCCGGAGCCUCCCUGAAACAAUCAAUUGAGAGAGUUUAUCUGAGGGCUUUAAAUUGAGGCAAGACAAUCAUGAGAAAAAUUACCAUAACAUACCAUAAACAAAAUUGUUUAAAAAUAUUUGUAGCCCCAAGUACCUCUUAUAAAUGGAUUUUGUUGACUAAAAAAAACGAGUCAAGAAAUCGUCUGUUUUUAAUUCGGAUCAAUUGCAGAAAGCUAAUCAGUGGGACGGUCAGGCUGAUGUCCAGGACUGAUCGUGUUUUCAAUCAAGUUUACUGGAGCCCACUCUUAAGUUUUCUGACAUCCGUAUCAGCUCCAAGCUGGGGAAUACCCACCCAUCCAAGUUACAACAACCAUGCCAACAGGCUUACAACUUGGGAGAUCGACCGAUCUUGGGAUGAUGCUAUUGGGCCCAAGCGACCGUCCUAAUCUCAGUAACUCAGUAUUGAUGGUCCUCGCACACAGUACAAAUAUGUACAUAUGUAAUACAUGUAAGUCGGACAGUCACACAGAUCGGAUAUUGACCUACACCAUACAGCUGCCGUACCUAUUACAAAGACCGAUCUAAGAAGUUCGUCACUGUUUCUGGAAUACCUCGGCUUCAUAAAAAUACCUAUGUAUUUAUCUGUAGUUAUUCGUAGUCGGAAAUAUCCAAGUACAUUUGUACGGUAGAAAAAGUUAAGAGAAAUUUAAAAAAGAAUGUAAAGCGCAAAAACAACGAAUUCACGAGCUUCGUUUAUUAAACUACUGAUUUGUUAACAAAUAUUUUCAAAGAAUAAGCUUUAGCUGUAUUCAUGUUAAAUUACUUCAGCUUUGAGAACAGACUGUGUGCAACGCAGUGAUCCAGUUCCGCAACAUAGUCAAAUAACUCUUCCAUGCACGUCUCCGUGGUCUUGGAUCGCCCGUUAACGCGAUCA